rnacentral:rRNA from 1 species
UCCUACGGGGCGCAGCAGUGGGGAAUAUUGCACAAUGGGGGAAACCCUGAUGCAGCGACGCCGCGUGAGCGAUGAAGUAUUUCGGUAUGUAAAGCUCUAUCAGCAGGGAAGAAAAUGACGGUACCUGACUAAGAAGCCCCGGCUAACUACGUGCCAGCAGCCGCGGUAAUACGUAGGGGGCAAGCGUUAUCCGGAUUUACUGGGUGUAAAGGGCGUGCAGCCGGGCUGACAAGUCAGAUGUGAAAUCCCGCGGCUCAACCGCGGAACUGCAUUUGAAACUGUCAGUCUUGAGUACCGGAGAGGUC